rnacentral:rRNA from 1 species
GUCUAUGGCGAUACCACCCUGAACGUGCCCAGUGUCCUCUGAUCUUGGAAGCCAAGCAGGGUGGCCUGGUUAGUACUUGGAUGGCAGAGUGCAUGAUCUAAGGCCA